rnacentral:rRNA from 1 species
AUGCCUUCACCAUGGCAGAGGAGCCGGUUCCGCCCGGUCCUGCGACCCGCCCUCCACCACCCCACCAUAUCGUCGCCACCGCACCGCCCACUGCCUCAUUGCAUGCCUCGCCGGAGCAAAACAACGGGCUCGCCAGCCCCUUCGCAGCCCCAUCGGAGCGUGGAGAUGCCUCUUCCGUUCGUAUACCAGGCUUUCCCGAAGCUGCUGCAGCUGAUUGGAUAUGUCUCGUCGGAGGUCCUAGAGGCUACGAGAGCGCGGCGGUGGCGGGAGUGGGCGGAGCGAAUCCGUGAGGACUCCCUAUCGUGGUCGCAGUGCGUGAGGGAGUGGAAGGGAGUAGAGCGGGAGAUGCAAGAGGACAUGAGAUCGCGUUUCCGAUGGGAGGGCAUCGCUCAAAUUUGCAAUGACCAAUCGGAUCAGGAACUGUAUAAUUUGGCUCGGAGGAUCUGCUUCGAGAGAUCAGAGGAUGAGGGAGCUGGAUGCUGUCCCCAACUGCGACACCGGUGGAAUUCGUUAACUGGGCGAGGCAGGAGGUGA